rnacentral:rRNA from 1 species
CAAGCGAAUAAGCGCACACGGUGGAUGCCUAGGCGGUCAGAGGCGAUGAAGGACGUGGUAGCCUGCGAAAAGUGUCGGGGAGCUGGCAACAAGCUUUGAUCCGGCAAUAUCCGAAUGGGGAAACCCACUGCUUCGGCAGUAUCCUGCAGUGAAUUCAUAGCUGCUGGAAGCGAACCCGGUGAACUGAAACAUCUAAGUA